CCCCUCUCAGGGUCGCACCUGGAGAGUUUCCAGUACUCUACCAGUCGUGACUACAGGAGGGAGAGUCAAGUAGAGGCCUGCCCAUUCCAUUCCUAACUUGGGCAGUGGCCAGGGAGUGGAAGGCAAUCUGCUACAAGG